AGGAUUCCCUUAGUAGCGGCGAGCGAACAGGGAUGAGCCCAGCACCGAAUCCCACGACCGGAAACGGGCGUCGGGAAAUGUGGUGUUUGGAAGGGUCCGUUAUCCCGAGAUAUUGCGACGCGUCCAAGUCCAUCUUGAACGGGGCCACUACCCAUAGAGGGUGCCAGGCCCGUAGCGACCGUCGCCAUUCUCGGGAGGAUCUCUUCUUAGAGUCGGGUUGCUUGAGAGUGCAGCCCUAAGUGGGUGGUAAACUCCAUCUAAGGCUAAAUAUAACCACGAGACCGAUAGCGAACAAGUACCGUGA
rnacentral:rRNA from 1 species